GACAUCACCAUUCCUGAGCCAUGAGAGAGGGAUCAAUUAUGUUGAGAAGAAAUACUAGAUUGAGGAAAUAUUUGUACAGAAAUAGCUUAGAAGGCAAAGAACGCCUUAUCUACGAGAAGAAGCGCAAGAUUAGAGAAGCUCUGCAAGAGGGAAAACCGAUUCCCACUGAGCUUCGGAAUGAAGAGGCGGUGCUUCGUUGAGAAAUCGAUCUCGAAGAUGAGAACACUGCUGUACCAAGGACACAUAUCGACGAUGAGUAUGCAAAGGCAGCAAAAAGAGAUCCCAAGAUUUUGAUAACUACUUCCUGGAAUCCGAGUGCUCCGCUAGUACAAUUUGCAAAGGAACUGAACCUUGUUUUUCCUAAUGCACAACAAAUGAACCGUGGUGGCCAGGUUACUUCUGAAAUUAUUGAAACUUGCCGUGCACAUGAUUUUACAGAUGUUGUGUUGGUUCAUGAAAAUCGUGGCGUACCUGAUGGUUUGUUUAUAAUCCCCUUCCCUUUGAUCCAACAGCAUUUUUUGAACUGCUCAAUGUUUAAUAGGUUACAAGACAUGACAUCAAGGACAAGAAAGCUAUGGGAACAAUGCCGCAGGUUUAUCCACAUUUGAUUCUUGACAAUUUCAUGACCAAGUUGGGUGAGAGAAUAGCAAAUAUUUUGAAGCAUCUCUUUCCAAUGCCAAAGCCAGAUACAAAACGCAUAAACACUUUUUCCAAUCGGUCGGACUAUAUUUCAUUCAGGCAUCAUACUUGUGGGAAGCAUGGAGGUCCUAAAUCCAUUGAGCUGGAGGAGAUUGGCCCUUGGUUUGAAAUGAAGCUUUUCAAGAUAAAGAUGGGAACACUGGAUCAGACUGAAACCCAGGAUGAAUGGUUCUCCAAGCGAUGCAUGAACACAGCCAAGAAACAGAAGUUUAUAGGGAUUUGAGGUGCCGCGAAUUUUUGAUCGGUCGCUGUUACUCGCUUGGACAAAUUAUGAUUGUGGGAAGAGAUCAUAACCUUGUUCAUUCAUACAAAUAUUUCAAUCAUAACUGAAUGCCAUAACCUAGUAUUCAAAUUCACAGAUGUAACUAGUUGUCUUGCAAACGUUGCAAUCGUGCAGUACAAAAUACUUGAGAAACAUGAGCAGAUUUCAUAAUCCAGUUCAUUCAUACAAAGUA